rnacentral:lncRNA from 1 species
UAUGGCCUCGGGCAGCCUCCUCAAAGCCCAUUGGUCAUGAUUUUUGACCAAUAGGAAUGGAGAUUUUUUAUUUUUCAUCUCCAUUCAUCUAUAUUGGUGCCCUAAUUACUCCCUUUGCUACCAAAAUCCUUCUUCAAUCCUUUUUUUUAUAAGAUUUACAUAAUUUAUGCUCUAAACACCAAAUAAAAGAACCAAAAUAAGUUUUCAAAUGUCAUCAAUGUCUAACAAAGGUGACUCUAAAUAUUUAGAAGUUACUAUCAAUCAAAACCAAUCUUAAAAGCCACUAUCAAA